AUGAACGCUAGCUACAGGCUUAACACAUGCAAGUCGAGGGGCAUCAGGAAGAAAGCUUGCUUUCUUUGCUGGCGACCGGCGCACGGGUGAGUAACACGUAUCCAACCUGCCCUUUACUCGGGGAUAGCCUUUCGAAAGAAAGAUUAAUACCCGAUAGCAUAAUGAUUCCGCAUGGUUUCAUUAUUAAAGGAUUCCGGUAAAGGAUGGGGAUGCGUUCCAUUAGGUUGUUGGUGAGGUAACGGCUCACCAAGCCUUCGAUGGAUAGGGGUUCUGAGAGGAAGGUCCCCCACAUUGGAACUGAGACACGGUCCAAACUCCUACGGGAGGCAGCAGUGAGGAAUAUUGGUCAAUGGGCGCUAGCCUGAACCAGCCAAGUAGCGUGAAGGAUGAAGGCUCUAUGGGUCGUAAACUUCUUUUAUAUAAGAAUAAAGUGCAGUAUGUAUACUGUUUUGUAUGUAUUAUAUGAAUAAGGAUCGGCUAACUCCGUGCCAGCAGCCGCGGUAAUACGGAGGAUCCGAGCGUUAUCCGGAUUUAUUGGGUUUAAAGGGAGCGUAGGUGGACUGGUAAGUCAGUUGUGAAAGUUUGCGGCUCAACCGUAAAAUUGCAGUUGAUACUGUCAGUCUUGAGUACAGUAGAGGUGGGCGGAAUUCGUGGUGUAGCGGUGAAAUGCUUAGAUAUCACGAAGAACUCCGAUUGCGAAGGCAGCUCACUGGACUGCAACUGACACUGAUGCUCGAAAGUGUGGGUAUCAAACAGGAUUAGAUACCCUGGUAGUCCACACCGUAAACGAUGAUUACUAGGUGUUGGAGGAUUGACCCCUUCAGUGCCGCAGUUAACACAAUAAGUAAUCCACCUGGGGAGUACGACCGCAAGGUUGAAACUCAAAGGAAUUGACGGGGGCCCGCACAAGCGGAGGAACAUGUGGUUUAAUUCGAUGAUACGCGAGGAACCUUACCCGGGCUUAAAUUGCAGUGGAAUGAUGUGGAAACAUGUCAGUGAGCAAUCACCGCUGUGAAGGUGCUGCAUGGUUGUCGUCAGCUCGUGCCGUGAGGUGUCGGCUUAAGUGCCAUAACGAGCGCAACCCUUAUCUUCAGUUACUAACAGGUCAUGCUGAGGACUCUGGAGAGACUGCCGUCGUAAGAUGUGAGGAAGGUGGGGAUGACGUCAAAUCAGCACGGCCCUUACGUCCGGGGCUACACACGUGUUACAAUGGGGGGUACAGAAGGCAGCUAGCGGGUGACCGUAUGCUAAUCCCAAAAUCCUCUCUCAGUUCGGAUCGAAGUCUGCAACCCGACUUCGUGAAGCUGGAUUCGCUAGUAAUCGCGCAUCAGCCACGGCGCGGUGAAUACGUUCCCGGGCCUUGUACACACCGCCCGUCAAGCCAUGGGAGCCGGGGGUACCUGAAGUACGUAACCGCAAGGAUCGUCCUAGGGUAAAACUGGUGACUGGGGCU
rnacentral:rRNA from 1 species